ACGGCAUGAUGGGGGCAUUUUCUGAUGAAAUCCUUUAAUCUUUCUUAUGACUCAUGGAAUUGCUCACCAUCUUGCUGCGAAAAGUUUGUGAGAGCUCGCCUUCUCU
rfam:Cephalotus follicularis DNA, scaffold: scaffold5424, isolate: St1.